rnacentral:rRNA from 1 species
UGCCGCCCUGAAGGGCGUAUGGUGGAUGCCUUGGCAGACAGUACCGAUGAAGGACGUUUGAGGAUGCGAUAAGCCUCGGGGAGCCUCCAACAUGGCUUCGAUCCGAGGAUUUCCGAAUGGGGCAACCCGCCGGCCGUCAUGGGCCGGCACGGAACCUUGUUGUUCCGGGGGUACGCAGGGAAGUGAAACAUCUCAGUACCUGCAGGAAGGGAUACUCCGUGAGUAGUGGCGAGCGAAAGCGGAUCAGACCAAACCAUGGGCGCGUGAUACCCGUCGGGGGUUGCGUUCGUGGUGUUGCGGGAGCGUGUGUCCCGGUUCCGACGGACCGGGCGGGAGUCAUAAAACGGCUUGCCAGGGGAACAGGCUUGAAGGCCUGGCCGCAGAGGGUGCCAGCCCCGUACCUGGAAGCUUGCCGUCUUCCGAUCAUGUGUCCCAAGUAGCGCGGGCCUCGUGGAAUCCCGUGUGAAUCGGCCCCGACCGUGGGGUAAGUCUAAGCAUACCUGUCUGACCGAUAGCGUACCAGUACCGUGAGGGAAAGGUGAAAAGCACCCCGGGAGGGGAGUGAAAGAGUUCCUGAAACCGUGCGCCUACAAUCCGUCGGAGCCUCCUUGUGGGGUGACGGCGUGCCUAUCGAAAAAUGAGUCUGCGAGUCAGUGGUGCGUGGCGAGGCUAACCCGUGGUGGGGGAGCCGUAGCGAAGGCGAGUCUCAAAAGGCGUUUUGAGUCGCGCGCCCUGGACCCGAAGCGGGAUGAUCUAGCCCUGGGCAGGUUGAAGCGCGGGUAAGACCGCGUGGAGGACCGAACCCACCUGGGUUGAAAACCGGGGGGAUGACCUGGGGCUAGGGGUGAAAGGCCAAUCAAAUUCCGUGAUAGCUGGUUCUCUCCGAAAUGCAUUUAGGUGCAGCGUCGGUUGAUUGCAUCGCGGGGGUAGAGCUACUGGAUGCUUGCGGGCCCGUGUGGGGUACCAAUAGCAGCCAAACUCCGAAUACCGUGGAUGUGUAUUCCGGCAGUGAGUCGGCGGGGGAUAAGCUCCGUCGUCGAGAGGGAGACAGCCCAGAUCGUCGUCUAAGGUCCCGAAGCGUGUGCUAAGUGGGAAAGGAUGUGGAGUCGCAUAGACAGCCAGGAGGUUGGCUCAGAAGCAGCCAUCCUUGAAAGAGUGCGUAACAGCUCACUGGUCUAGUGGUUCCGCGCCGACAAUGUAGCGGGGCUCAAGCACACCACCGAAGACGCGGCAGCGGCCUUUGCGGCCGUUGGGUAGGAGAGCGUCCCGCGUGGGGCGAAGCGGCCGGGGAACCGUGCCGUGGACCGCGCGGGAGUGAGAAUGCAGACAUGAGUAGCGAGAGACGGGUGAGGAUCCCGUCCGCUGGAUGACCAAGGGUUCCGGGGCCACGUUCGUCGUCCCCGGGUGAGUCGGGUCCUAAGGCGAGGCCGACAGGCGUAGUCGAAUGGAUGAACGGGUGGAUAUUCCCGUACCGGCGGCGUACCGUAAGAGCCGAACGGAUGAGUACUAACCUCCGGUCGCGUGGCGUCGUUCCCUUCGGGGUUCGGGGCGCGUGGCUGUUGGGAGCGUAGUCCUGGUAGGCUAGCGCACAGGGGUGACACGGAAUGGGAGCCGGCCGCGGAGGUGGUUUUCCGUGGUCAAGCACGCAGCCCGUCCCAUAGGCAAAUCCGUGGGACGCAUAGGGUGAGGUGUGAUGAUGGGCGUCCUUUGGACGCGAUAUCCGGUGGUCCAGGCCGUCGAGAAAAGCCUCGGCGCGAGGGGCGUCGCCGCCCGUACCCCAAACCGACACUGGUGGUCAGGUAGAGAAUACCAAGGCGAUCGAGCGAAUCCUGGUCAAGGAACUCGGCAAAUCACUCCCGUGCCUUCGGUAUAAGGGAGACCCCCGGGCGUGAAGAGGCUUGCCCUCGGAGCGUUGGGGGGUGGCACAGACCAGGGGGUAGCGACUGUUUACCAAAAACACAGGUGCAUGCGAAGGCGCAAGCCGCUGUAUAUGCACUGACGCCUGCCCGGUGCCGGAAGGUUAAGAGGAUCCGUCAGCCCUUUUGGGGUGAAGCGGUGAAUUCAAGCCCCGGUAAACGGCGGUGGUAACUAUAACCAUCCUAAGGUAGCGAAAUUCCUUGUCGGGUAAGUUCCGACCUGCACGAAUGG